rnacentral:rRNA from 1 species
AUUGAACGCUGGCGGCAGGCCUAACACAUGCAAGUCGAGCGGAUGAAGGGAGCUUGCUCCUGGAUUCAGCGGCGGACGGGUGAGUAAUGCCUAGGAAUCUGCCUGGUAGUGGGGGAUAACGUCCGGAAACGGGCGCUAAUACCGCAUACGUCUUGAUGGAGAAAGUGGGGGAUCUUCGGACCUCACGCUAUCAGAUGAGCCUAGGUCGGAUUAGCUAGUUGGUGGGGUAAAGGCCUACCAAGGCGACGAUCCGUAACUGGUCUGAGAGGAUGAUCAGUCACACUGGAACUGAGACACGGUCCAGACUCCUACGGGAGGCAGCAGUGGGGAAUAUUGGACAAUGGGCGAAAGCCUGAUCCAGCCAUGCCGCGUGUGUGAAGAAGGUCUUCGGAUUGUAAAGCACUUUAAGUUGGGAGGAAGGGCAGUAAGUUAAUACCUUGCUGUUUUGACGUUACCAACAGAAUAAGCACCGGCUAACUUCGUG